rnacentral:tRNA from 1 species
CAGAAAAUAUUAUAUAGUUAGUAUUUAAAUUUUGGAGAUUUAAGGAGAUAUUUCUUUUCUGA